GGGCCCGUAGCUCAAUUGGGAGAGCACUUGGUUUGCAUCCAAGGGGUUGCAGGUUCGAGUCCUGUCGGGUCCA
rnacentral:tRNA from 1 species